UUGACUAUCCUCCACCAAGGCGCCUGCUGGGAGGAAAUCGAAACGAGUGGUAAGUGAAAGUGGAGCCUUGAAUAAACUCGUUUGCUCUUCUGCCCACUUCCCCCCUCGCCAAACAAUGAAACACGUUGUGGUUUUCAAUCACACCAAGCCAGCGAAGGCAGAAACCCCUCUCCCCACAGCAGUUGUUAGCAGGCUUCAGGCGGCCAGACUGACAGCGCCUGCAAGGGACGGGACGUGAAGGCAAAGGGGAGCCACCAGCGGGACCCUCCUGCCCCCCGCGCCUCAGACAUGGGCCCCCGGGGCCAAGGCACAAAAGGAGAUCAGAUUAGCUACAGAGAAAGAGUAAUAAGAAAGCAUUUUUCAAAUACAUAAGAAGCAUGAGGAAAAUCAAGGACAAGAUCAGGGGAGCUGGCUCCAUGUUCCUGGAAGUGAAGUGCUUCAGUUACAACUCCUGCUGAGGGGAGAGUUUGCUGCUUACUGAUCAGAGUCCUUAAAUAGAAAAGGUUCAAAGGAACACAAUGCAAUACAAUAAAGGUUUGAAGUAACAUCA